UUGGCCUACGGGGGGCAGCAGUGAGGAAUAUUGGGCAAUGGACGAGAGUCUGAACCGGCCAAGUAGCGUGAAGGAUGACUGCCCUAUGGGUUGUAAACUUCUUUUAUAUGGGAAUAAAAUGUUCCACGGGUGGGGUUUUGUAUGUACCAUAUGAAUAAGGAUCGGCUAACUCCGUGCCAGCAGCCGCGGUAAUACGGAGGAUCCGAGCGUUAUCCGGAUUUAUUGGGUUUAAAGGGAGCGUAGGUGGAUUGUUA
rnacentral:rRNA from 1 species